AUAUUUUAAUUUCUCCUCACGGUUUAUCAUAAAUAUUUACAAAAGACAUUGUACAAUGUAGAACGGUGUGAAAUCCGCAGGUUUGACAAAUGGUUUUGCAAAUAGAAAGGGGUUAAGCAAGCAGCUAACAGACACAUGUACUAUACAGGUUGCUGAUUACAACGGGCUCAGCAAACUAGCGGAACAAAACUAGUUCUAAAAUAGAUUUGCCUGUAAGGUAAAAAAAGAUUUUUCAGGGGUAAUCUGGGAGGAAUCUCAAAACAGUGGUUUGAUUAUGCAUGGUAAUAUUGUCUCUUGUAAGAAUCAAUACUCUCAUUCUUCAUGGAAGUAUCUGGACUCUUCUUUGAACAAUCUGGUUUUAAACUGUGUAUUUCUCUGAGUUACCUACAGAACUUGUUUUAAUUAGAAUUUAUUUUUACUUUAAAUGUUCAAUUAGCAAAUACAGAAUAAGGAAAACAGCCAUUGUGUUUCAUAGCUUUCCCUACAAUUAAAGUAAUAAUUAGAAUCCAUCUUUCAGAAACAAUUAUAAAAACAGAAUCCGAUCACAAUUCUGAGAGUCCUGAUUUUCUGUGUUGCUCCAUAUCAAGGGCCAAAUUCAGCUCUAGCAGUAAAAUUAUAUCAGAUAUUAUUGACCCCAGGGUUAGAAAUAUAUACAUUUCAGACAUCUCAGUAAUUUUCUCUAAUGUCUAUACAGUAUACAGCUGUUCCAGUUAAGUAUAGGAGUUAAUACAUCGCAAACGAUUAUAGUAUCCCACCUUUCAGAGACAAAUUGUGAAAUAGAGGAAGUUUGACAUCUAGUGGCUAUUUAGGGUAAUUUAUUUCUUUUUAUUGAAAUAUCCUAGGAAAUUUUCUAUACACCAUUCUGCACUCUUAUCUAGAUGCAUUUGACUUCUGCUGAGUAUCAGCUAUCACCUUUAAUGUUAGGCACACGUCUACAUCAGUUGCAAUCUCUUCCAUUAAACUAAUGGUAUUCAUAAUUGUACAUUUAGAAGACACACUACUUACAAACUGAACCUCUGUUUUCAAAUUGUAAAAAAAUAUUCUAAAACAAAAGACCUACACAUCUCAAACAUUUUCAGCGCUUCUCUUUCAUUUCACAAAUUUGGAGGGGAAGCAUAUAUGGCAUAAUCCUUUGACUGACUCACUCAUUUAUCUGCACACACAAUGUACGAGGUAAGACAUCCAUAUCUGGAUACUAACACCAUAUUGUUUUAAUGCAACAUUAACGGGGCUGCACUCAAGAGUGAGCUGUCAUAACUGGACCACAUGUUUUGCAAGAAGAUUAUAAAAUUAGAAAUAAGAAUGCAAAAUAUAGCAAUUAUAUAUUAAAGGAUCGUAGCAGCACAAAAAAGUAUUUGCAGCUAGUAUUAAGUAAUACAAAACUCUCUCAAUUUCUCCAAAAUACAAGUACUGUAAAAGGUAUUAUAUAAUUAAGUGCCCUUUUCACAAAAUUUAAUACACCCCUAUAUUGCCACUUGCAAACCACCUAUAGCCAAUACAUACACACACGUUUCUCCCACUACUUUGUGCAGUUACAUAACUCAACUGUAGUUCCAGCACUCUCAAUUAAUAGAUAGAGAUAAAGGCCAGGAUUCUUUCAAAAGUGGCUAGUGAUUUUGGAUGCCUCAAUGUUUAGGUCCCCAACCUGAGACACCUAAUAUUGUUGGGCAAAGCUUGCAAAACUGUAUUUACAUAAGACAUUAAGCAGGAAAAGGCCAUUUAAGUCCAACAUACUUUACCACUUCUGACUAGUCUCAAUCCCACUUUAUUACUUUUUAACGUCUCCAGCUCCUCAAUUCCCACUUUUCUCCAAACAUAAAAUUAGUCAAUAUAAUCUUACAUCUGCUCUCUUUAAAUAGCUAUGCUCUAUAACAGUGGUUUUCAGCCUGUGGUCCAUGGACCCCUGGAGGUCCGUAGACUAUGUCUAAGAUUUCAAAGGGAUCCAUCCCUCCAUUCAAAAUUUUUUAGGGAACUGCAAAUGAAAAGAGGUUGAAAGUCACUGCUUUAACACAUAUUUCCAAGGCAAUAAUAUCCCUCGAACUAUAGUGACCAAAUUGCUUUAUUACAGUUACAGUAUUGCUACAUUGGGUUUGUGUUCCAUCCCUCUACUAAUAUAUUUAAAUAAUAAUACUUUGUAUUGAACUAUUUUGUCUCUCUCCUUCCCCACCAGUCACAUUUGUGCUGUGGGACAACGUUUUAACAUUGUUUGUCCAGAACUCCCAAAUUCUUUUCCUGGUCAGCAUACUGGAUAAUUUAAUACAAAUCCUAUAACUUGGUUUCUUGCUCCCAGAUCAGUGUUUUUUCUUUUGUUUUUACUUGACUACAAAAAUUGUACACAAUACUUCUAAAAAGGGCAAAGAAUUGUAAACCGCAGGGUCCCCUUUUGUACUAUAGGACUUUAUCUUACAAUUUUGCAGUGUGGAAACCAAAUUUUCAAAGAAAGCUUAGAGGUACACAACAAACAUAUCUCAAACUGCGCAAUUAGAGAAAGUCCUACAGAAGUGACAUGGAUAAAUACUUUUUCAUCCAAUUCUUAAAAGAAAAUUACAAAUAAAAGCUUUUUUCUUUAAGUAUUAAAACAUUCAGAUGAACACAGCUAUUCCUACACAUUGUACGUAUCUUUGGGUUAAAGCUUUUUAGCAAAAAUAUAACCAUGUGUUGUAAGCACUCUAGUUAGAUACGGAUCAAUACAAUUUUGAGAUUCUCUGUCAUGAAAAA